rnacentral:rRNA from 1 species
UAGAGUUUGAUCCUGGCUCAGGAUUAACGCUGGCGGCAUGCCUAAUGCAUGCAAGUAGAACGGGUUUAGCCGCAAGGCUAAGCUAGUUGCGAACGGCUGAGUAAUGGAUAGGAAUCUCCCCGAUGGCGUGGAAUACCUCAUCGAAAGAUGAGCUAAUACCGCAUAACCUCGAAAGAGAAAAGCGCUUUACUGCGCACCGACGGAUGAGCCUAUCUCCCAUCAGGCUGUUGGUAGGGUAAUGGCCUACCAAACCUAUGACGGGUACCCGCCCUGAGAGGGGAAACGGGCAGAAUGGGACUGAGACACGGCCCAUACACCUACGGGUGGCAGCAACAGGGAAUCGUGCGCAAUGGACGAAAGUCUGACGCCGCAAUGCCGCGUGGAGGAUGAAGGCCCUUGGGUCGUAAACUCCUUUUGCCAAACAGGAGAUGGUUUGGAGAAUAAGUGACUGCUAACUCUGUGCCAGCAGCCGCGGUAAUACAGAGGUCACAAGCGUUAUCCGGAUUUAUUGGGCGUAAAGCGUUUCGUAGGUGGGUUUAUAAGUUAUUUUUCAAAUACCAAGGCUCAACCUUGGACAGGGAGAUAAUACUGUAAGCCUUGAUUUUUGGUGGGGUAUCUGGAACUGAUGGUGUAGUAGUGAAAUACGUUGAUAUCAUCAGGAACUCCAAGGGCGAAGGCAGGAUACUAACCAAUUAAUGACACUGAGGAACGACAGCUAGGGUAGCGAAAGGGAUUAGAGACCCCUGUAGUCCUAGCCGUAAACUAUGCUCGCUAGGGAUUGGGCCGCAAGGUUUAGUCCCGUAAGCUAACGCGUUAAGCGAGCCGCCUGGGGAGUACGACCGCAAGGUUAAAACUCAAAGGAAUUGACGG